rnacentral:rRNA from 1 species
GACGAACGCUGGCGGCGUGCUUAACACAUGCAAGUCGAACGGUGAACCUCUUCGGAGGGGAUCAGUGGCGAACGGGUGAGUAACACGUGGGCAACCUGCCCCCGGCUCUGGGAUAACUCCAAGAAAUUGGGGCUAAUACCGGAUGUUCACCGCUUCCCGCAUGGGUGGUGGUGGAAAGGGUUUCCGGCUGGGGAUGGGCCCGCGGCCUAUCAGCUUGUUGGUGGGGUAGUGGCCUACCAAGGCGACGACGGGUAGCCGGCCUGAGAGGGUGACCGGCCACACUGGGACUGAGACACGGCCCAGACUCCUACGGGAGGCAGCAGUGGGGAAUAUUGCGGAAUGGGCGGAAGCCUGACGCGGCGACGCCGCGUGGGGGAUGACGGCCUUCGGGUUGUAAACCUAUUUCAGCAGGGACGAAGCGCAAGUGACGGUACCUGCAGAAGAAGCACCGGCCAACUACGUG